UUAAGCGACUAAGCGUACACGGUGGAUGCCCUGGCAGUCAGAGGCGAUGAAGGACGUGCUAAUCUGCGAUAAGCGUCGGUGAGGUGAUAUGAACCGUUAUAACCGGCGAUUUCCGAAUGGGGAAACCCAGUGUGAUUCGUCACACUAUCAUUAACUGAAUCCAUAGGUUAAUGAGGCGAACCGGGGGAACUGAAACAUCUAAGUACCCCGAGGAAAAGAAAUCAACCGAGAUUCCCCCAGUAGCGGCGAGCGAACGGGGAGGAGCCCAGAGCCUGAAUCAGUGUGUGUGUUAGUGGAAGCGUCUGGAAAGGCGCGCGAUACAGGGUGACAGCCCCGUACACAAAAAUGCACAUAUUGUGAGCUCGAUGAGUAGGGCGGGACACGUGGUAUCCUGUCUGAAUAUGGGGGGACCAUCCUCCAAGGCUAAAUACUCCUGACUGACCGAUAGUGAACCAGUACCGUGAGGGAAAGGCGAAAAGAACCCCGGCGAGGGGAGUGAAAAAGAACCUGAAACCGUGUACGUACAAGCAGUGGGAGCCUCUUAAUGGGGUGACUGCGUACCUUUUGUAUAAUGGGUCAGCGACUUAUAUUCUGUAGCAAGGUUAACCGAAUAGGGGAGCCGAAGGGAAACCGAGUCUUAACUGGGCGUUAAGUUGCAGGGUAUAGACCCGAAACCCGGUGAUCUAGCCAUGGGCAGGUUGAAGGUUGGGUAACACUAACUGGAGGACCGAACCGACUAAUGUUGAAAAAUUAGCGGAUGACUUGUGGCUGGGGGUGAAAGGCCAAUCAAACCGGGAGAUAGCUGGUUCUCCCCGAAAGCUAUUUAGGUAGCGCCUCGUGAAUUCAUCUCCGGGGGUAGAGCACUGUUUCGGCAAGGGGGUCAUCCCGACUUACCAACCCGAUGCAAACUGCGAAUACCGGAGAAUGUUAUCACGGGAGACACACGGCGGGUGCUAACGUCCGUCGUGAAGAGGGAAACAACCCAGACCGCCAGCUAAGGUCCCAAAGUCAUGGUUAAGUGGGAAACGAUGUGGGAAGGCCCAGACAGCCAGGAUGUUGGCUUAGAAGCAGCCAUCAUUUAAAGAAAGCGUAAUAGCUCACUGGUCGAGUCGGCCUGCGCGGAAGAUGUAACGGGGCUAAACCAUGCACCGAAGCUGCGGCAGCGACACUAUGUGUUGUUGGGUAGGGGAGCGUUCUGUAAGCCUGUGAAGGUGGCCUGUGAGGGUUGCUGGAGGUAUCAGAAGUGCGAAUGCUGACAUAAGUAACGAUAAAGCGGGUGAAAAGCCCGCUCGCCGGAAGACCAAGGGUUCCUGUCCAACGUUAAUCGGGGCAGGGUGAGUCGACCCCUAAGGCGAGGCCGAAAGGCGUAGUCGAUGGGAAACAGGUUAAUAUUCCUGUACUUGGUGUUACUGCGAAGGGGGGACGGAGAAGGCUAUGUUGGCCGGGCGACGGUUGUCCCGGUUUAAGCGUGUAGGCUGGUUUUCCAGGCAAAUCCGGAAAACCAAGGCUGAGGCGUGAUGACGAGGCACUACGGUGCUGAAGUGACAAAUGCCCUGCUUCCAGGAAAAGCCUCUAAGCAUCAGGUAACAUCAAAUCGUACCCCAAACCGACACAGGUGGUCAGGUAGAGAAUACCAAGGCGCUUGAGAGAACUCGGGUGAAGGAACUAGGCAAAAUGGUGCCGUAACUUCGGGAGAAGGCACGCUGAUAUGUAGGUGAAGCGACUUGCUCGUGGAGCUGAAAUCAGUCGAAGAUACCAGCUGGCUGCAACUGUUUAUUAAAAACACAGCACUGUGCAAACACGAAAGUGGACGUAUACGGUGUGACGCCUGCCCGGUGCCGGAAGGUUAAUUGAUGGGGUUAGCGGCAACGCGAAGCUCUUGAUCGAAGCCCCGGUAAACGGCGGCCGUAACUAUAACGGUCCUAAGGUAGCGAAAUUCCUUGUCGGGUAAGUUCCGACCUGCACGAAUGGCGUAAUGAUGGCCAGGCUGUCUCCACCCGAGACUCAGUGAAAUUGAACUCGCUGUGAAGAUGCAGUGUACCCGCGGCAAGACGGAAAGACCCCGUGAACCUUUACUAUAGCUUGACACUGAACAUUGAGCCUUGAUGUGUAGGAUAGGUGGGAGGCUUUGAAGUGUGGACGCCAGUCUGCAUGGAGCCGACCUUGAAAUACCACCCUUUAAUGUUUGAUGUUCUAACGUUGGCCCGUAAUCCGGGUUGCGGACAGUGUCUGGUGGGUAGUUUGACUGGGGCGGUCUCCUCCUAAAGAGUAACGGAGGAGCACGAAGGUUGGCUAAUCCUGGUCGGACAUCAGGAGGUUAGUGCAAUGGCAUAAGCCAGCUUGACUGCGAGCGUGACGGCGCGAGCAGGUGCGAAAGCAGGUCAUAGUGAUCCGGUGGUUCUGAAUGGAAGGGCCAUCGCUCAACGGAUAAAAGGUACUCCGGGGAUAACAGGCUGAUACCGCCCAAGAGUUCAUAUCGACGGCGGUGUUUGGCACCUCGAUGUCGGCUCAUCACAUCCUGGGGCUGAAGUAGGUCCCAAGGGUAUGGCUGUUCGCCAUUUAAAGUGGUACGCGAGCUGGGUUUAGAACGUCGUGAGACAGUUCGGUCCCUAUCUGCCGUGGGCGCUGGAGAACUGAGGGGGGCUGCUCCUAGUACGAGAGGACCGGAGUGGACGCAUCACUGGUGUUCGGGUUGUCAUGCCAAUGGCACUGCCCGGUAGCUAAAUGCGGAAGAGAUAAGUGCUGAAAGCAUCUAAGCACGAAACUUGCCCCGAGAUGAGUUCUCCCUGACCCUUUAAGGGUCCUGAAGGAACGUUGAAGACGACGACGUUGAUAGGCCGGGUGUGUAAGCGCAGCGAUGCGUUGAGCUAACCGGUACUAAUGAACCGUGAGGCUUAACCUU
rnacentral:rRNA from 1 species